UGAACAUUCCAAACAGACUACAGGGCACUUUGGAUUGGGGUUCUCCAUCAUGUGUGGAACCAUCACACCUGGGAGACUGGAAGCUGCCAACAUGAUCACCUCAAAUACACUCAUUAAAAGCAGUGUAUUGAGAGGGAUUCCCAGAGCCACAAAGCACUAGUGAACGUUGUCCUCAACAUGCGCUGGCAGAAGGAAGGAUGUCCACAAGUAUCUGCGCUUCAGGAAAAAUCAAGAGCACUCCUUCAGAAUCACGUUCAGAAUCACAUUUUGAUGUAUGCCAGCAAGCGCCAGGCCUUCACUCCCCGAGGGUAUGACUCAAGAGUUUUGCUCGCAGCUCUGGACUACAAUUUCCACCAUAAACUGCCAACUUACAGGACGGCUGAGGGCCAACAAGUUCUUAGAAAGAAGUACAAUAAGAAUGCCAGAAGAUACAGCCUCUACGCCUUAAAAUGUGAGAAAUCAUAUGAUGACAUCCCUGAGUUGCAUGUGCUUAUUGUGAACGAAAAAGUG
ensembl:lncRNA